rnacentral:rRNA from 1 species
GAGUUUGAUUCUGGCUCAGGGUGAACGCUAGCGGUGCGCCUAACACAUGCAAGUCGAGCGGGAGUGGAAGAGAAGCUUGCUUCUUUUUUACAAUAGCGGCGAACGGGUGAGUAACACGUUGGAACCUGCCCCCAAGUCAGGGAUAGCCUAGGGAAACCUGGGAUAAUACCGGAUAGUCUCUUUGGAGUAAAGAUUUAUUGCUUGGGGAGGGGCCUGCGAUCUAUCAGCUAGUUGGUGUGGUAAAGGCACACCAAGGCGAUGACGGAUAACUGGUCUGAGAGGAUGAUCAGUCACAAUGGAACUGAGACACGGUCCAUACUUCUACGGGAGGCAGCAGUGAGGAAUCUUCCACAAUGGACGAAAGUCUGAUGGAGCGACACCGCGUGAAGGAAGAAGGCCUAACGGUUGUAAACUUCUUUUCUGAAGGAGCAUAAUGAGAGU